CUAAUCAACUGCAGAAUGGCUGGGAACGAAAUUGAAUAAGAAGAGCAACAACUCUUACAUGGACAUAAAUAACCACACUAGGGGUGGGUUAUGCGUCCACAUUCCAGCUUUACUCUGAAUGACAGCUUUUCUAAUUCUUGUGGCCGAUCAGUGUCAGAAAAGACUACAUGAAAGUUGACGUACGAGAAGAAACUACAAUCGAUUAUGGCGUGCAUGACGAUGAUAUCAUAUCUAAGUGUCUUUGUAUUCCUGUAUUCAGUGAUUUUUGUCGUAUCAAAAAGAUUUUGUUAUCGACCCCCUGGAUCACCAUGUUCUAAUCAUACUCUAACUUGUCCUAGAGGUCACCGUAUUCAUAUAUAUGGGACUGUGUAUGUCUAUACCAAAGCAAGAUCUGACGGCUGUACUCCACUACAAGAACAGAAUGGUUGUGAUAGUCACUGCUGUAUCUGGGGUACUAUUGAAGAUAUUAUAGAUACUUUAAGUCUAAAGGAUACUUUACCUAUUUAUCAAGCCUGUGCUUAUCAACAGUCCUGCCACUUUACCUCUCCUUAUAUUGCUGGUACUAGUUAUGAUUACGGAUCAUUUGCGUAUUUGUGUAUGCAUAG